GGAGGGGACCCUGACCAGGGUGAGGGAUGCUGGUGGACCUGUGCUCAUCCUGCUGCUUUUUACCCCAGGACUGUACUUUAGAGGACAUUGACUUCUGUGCUUCUGACAGCAGCAAGAGCCAGCCUUAACAAAGCAAAUUCAUUGUGGAUCUCAGUCAUUAGGUCCCUUUUGACUGUGAAAAGGAGAGAGGAGGAGCAUGUGGAAGGGAGGUCAAAUCCUGCCAGGGUUUCCUGGAAAGUGAGGUGCAUCCACAGUUGGGAUGAUGGAGCCUGAUGAUCUGCAGUUUCACUUGGAUUACAGUAUUUCAAAAGGCUUUCUGAACUUGCCCUCCCCUGGUCCUUGGGGGCAGGGGAGCUUAAGUUUGUAUCUCCAGUAUCACACAAGGAGAAAGGACGAAGUUGGCUGCUUCGCACAAGUAACUAGAAUCAAUGUUGUGUUGCUGUUGGGAGCAUUUAGAAGGAGAAAAGACUGGAGUCUGGCUCUCAUUUUAGAGAGGAUAUUGUCCAAGAGGAAUAUGCAGAAGGGAAGAUACAGGAGGAAGGAGGAGAGGUGGUGAUACAAGGCAUCUUCCUGACCUCCAGAAUGGGACUGCAGUGUCAUAACAAGGUUUUCUAACUAUGGAAGCUCUCCUGAGGAGCUGCAUCGUGUGCUGCUGACCUUGGGAUGGGACACAGAGCUUUGAGCGAGGAGGAGCUGCAACGUGCCGCUGCCAGUUGCUUUCAUGAGGAGGGAGGCUUUCCAGCAUGUCAUAUAGUGAUGAAAGCCAUUCUGUUCUUGGCAGAAAAAAUCCUUAUCCUUCUUGUGUGCUUUUUUUCUAGGACAGCUGAUACUUCCUGUUAGAGGUGCUUUGUAUGCAGACCAAGGUGGUACAACAAAAAAGGACUCCUGAAAGCAAUCACACCAAUAACCUCAGCUCACUGGGGAAUUCCUGCUUAUCAUUUUUGUCUUUUCUGUUUUCAGUUCUGUACAAGAUGCUUCUUUGCUUGCUCUUUCUUACAGUCUUUAAUGUUUGCCCUGCCAGACCUCUUGCUCAUGAGCUACAAUGGUGCUUGCAUUUUGCAGGGCUCCAUGUCAGUGCAUGAAUAAAAGACGGUAAGUGCUGGAAAUCAGGGUUAACAGUCCCUGUGUUCCAGCUCUGCUCUGGUGCUCACUAGUGUUCAAGCUAGACGUGAACCUCACACUAAGAAUGCCAUGUUCCUGUAGUGAUGAUUUACAUGGGAAGGCAAACCCAGAAACCCUCAGGAGGCUCAGGAAAGGAGAGAGGUAGAAAACAAAAAGGCGGCAGCAGAUAAUUAGCUAGUAACUUAAA